rnacentral:lncRNA from 1 species
CUGCAAGAACCAGACUCCGUCCGAACUUCUACAGCGGAUGGAUUCCAGACGAACUUCUACAAUGAAGGGGCUCUAGCAGUCGGAUUUCUAUAAUGACCGACUAUCUCUGGUGUCUUCCAUACCUCUCCAGCCAUCAACCUUCAACAGUACCAAUCGAACUUCAACAGUGCCAACCAGACCCCUCCAACGAACAAAUUACCU